GUGCCAGCAGCCGCGGUAAUACCGGCAGCCCGAGUGAUGGCCGAUCUUAUUGGGCCUAAAGCGUCCGUAGCUGGCUGCGCAAGUCCGUCGGAAAAUCCACCCGCCCAACGGGUGGGCGUCCGGUGGAAACUGCGUGGCUUGGGACCGGAAGGCGCGACGGGUACGUCCGGGGUAGGAGUGAAAUCCCGUAAUCCCGAACGGACCACCGAUGGCGAAAGCAUCUCGAGAAAACGGAUCCGACAGUGAGGGACGAAAGCUAGGGUCUCGAACCGGAUUAGAUACCCGGGUAGUCC
rnacentral:rRNA from 1 species